AACCUGCCCCACUGCUCCAGAAUAGCUCUUGGAAACGGGUGGUAAUGCUGGAUGCUCCAACUUGACGCAUGUCUUGUUUGGGAAAGUGUUUAGUGGCAUGGGAUGGGGUCGCGUCCUAUCAGCUUGUAGGCGGGGUAAUGGCCCACCUAGGCUUCGACGGGUAGCCGGCCUGAGAGGGCGGACGGCCACAUUGGGACUGAGAUACGGCCCAGACUCCUACGGGAGGCAGCAGCG
rnacentral:rRNA from 1 species